rnacentral:rRNA from 1 species
GCUUGCUUCUCUGGAUGAGUUGCGAACGGGUGAGUAACGCGUAGGUAACCUGCCUGGUAGCGGGGGAUAGCUAUUGGAAACGAUAGCUAAUACCGCAUAACAUUGACUAUUGCAUGAUAGUCAGUUAAAAGGUGCAAUUGCAUCACUACCAGAUGGACCUGCGUUGUAUUAGCUAGUUGGUGGGGUAACGGCUCACCAAGGCGACGAUACAUAGCCGACCUGAGAGGGUGAUCGGCCACACUGGGACUGAGACACGGCCCAGACUCCUACGGGAGGCAGCAGUAGGGAAUCUUCGGCAAUGGACGGAAGUCUGACCGAGCAACGCCGCGUGAGUGAAGAAGGUUUUCGGAUCGUAAAGCUCUGUUGUAAGAGAAGAACGAGUGUGAGAGUGGAAAGUUCACACUGUGACGGUAUCUUACCAGAAAGGGACGGCUAACUACGUGCCAGCAGCCGCGGUAAUACGUAGGUCCCGAGCGUUGUCCGGAUUUAUUGGGCGUAAAGCGAGCGCAGGCGGUUAGAUAAGUCUGAAGUUAAAGGCUGUGGCUUAACCAUAGUACGCUUUGGAAACUGUUUAACUUGAGUGCAAGAGGGGAGACGUGGAAUUCCAUGUGUAGCGGUGAAAUGCGUAGAUAUAUGGAGGACACCGGUGGCGAAAGCGGCUCUCUGGCUUGUAACUGACGUGAGGUCGAAAGCGUGGGGAGCAAACAGGAUUAGAUACCCCGGUAGUCCACGCCGUAAACGAUGAGUGCUAGGUGUUAGACCCU